GACGAACGCUGGCGGCGUGCUUAACACAUGCAAGUCGAACGGAAAGGCCCUGCUUUUGUGGGGUGCUCGAGUGGCGAACGGGUGAGUAACACGUGAGUAACCUGCCCUUGAAUUUGGGAUAACUUCAGGAAACUGGGGCUAAUACCGGAUAGGAGCCCCUGCUGCAUGGUGGGGGUUGGAAAGUUUCGGCGGUUGGGGAUGGACUCGCGGCUUAUCAGCUUGUUGGUGGGGUAGUGGCUUACCAAGGCUUUGACGGGUAGCCGGCCUGAGAGGGUGAUCGGCCACAUUGGGACUGAGAUACGGCCCAGACUCCUACGGGAGGCAGCAGUGGGGAAUAUUGCACAAUGGGCGGAAGCCUGAUGCAGCAACGCCGCGUGCGGGAUGACGGCCUUCGGGUUGUAAACCGCUUUCGCCUGUGACGAAGCGUGAGUGACGGUAAUGGGUAAAGAAGCACCGGCUAACUACGUG
rnacentral:rRNA from 1 species